rnacentral:rRNA from 1 species
ACGAACGCUGGCGGCGUGCCUAAUACCUGCAAGUAGAACGCUGAAGGAGGAGCUUGCUUCUCUGGAUGAGUUGCGAACGGGUGAGUAACGCGUAGGUAACCUGCCUGGUAGCGGGGGAUAACUAUUGGAAACGAUAGCUAAUACCGCAUAAGAGUAGAUGUCGCAUGACAUUUGCUUAAAAGGUGCAAUUGCAUCACUACCAGAUGGACCUGCGUUGUAUUAGCUAGUUGGUGAGGUAACGGCUCACCAAGGCAACGAUACAUAGCCGACCUGAGAGGGUGAUCGGCCACACUGGGACUGAGACACGGCCCAGACUCCUACGGGAGGCAGCAGUAGGGAAUCUUCGGCAAUGGACGGAAGUCUGACCGAGCAACGCCGCGUGAGUGAAGAAGGGUUUCGGAUCGUAAAGCUCUGUUGUAAGAGAAGAACGAGUGUGAGAGUGGAAAGUUCACACUGUGACGGUAUCUUACCAGAAAGGGACGGCUAACUACGUG